rnacentral:snRNA from 1 species
AAAAAGGGCUUCUGUCGUGAGUGGCAUAUGUAGGGCAGCUUGGUUGUUCUUCAUGCAUAAUCGACAAUAAGAGAUUUCGGAAGCAUAAUUUUUUGGUACCUGGGCAGCUAGUGAUCAUUGGCCCUGGCACCCCG